GCAAAAUGCGCGGACACAUCUGAACCGUUAGACACAAGUUGAGUAGAUAUCUACUUUUUUUUUCAACCCCUAUAAAGAGCUAGGGUUUGGCAGAUUGUUAAUGGCGUACAGUCAGGGUUUCUUCUUGAACGAAGAAGCGAUUUUUUAUUUGUUGUGUGUUGCAAACCAUUUUUCUGCGUUUUCAUGAAUUGUUCGAUGAGCGGAGUGGUUUCAUUCCUUGUUUAAUCAUCUGUAUCAAAGCUACAGGUUCAGAAUCGUAAGCUGAAUGGCGUAAUGUGAAGUGAGGGUCGUGAACUGCGAAGGUUUUUUCGCAUUCUUAUGAUUUCAAAAAUAGGGGAAGAGCACCAACAAUUAUUAUUGUGCAACCAAGUUCAUAGCUCAUAUAGCUCAUACACUGUAUAUUGUAUUUGCAUCUAUUUUUAGGUUGCGUUCCAUUGCGACUUAAUUGUUUAUAGACAUUGUUCUAGCUUUUGUGUUUUGUGUAGUAAUGUGAGAUCCCUUUUGUGUUAAGGGUCAAAAGCGAUCACAUUUAGUGCCAUCUCUAAUAUAUUUUGAUCUAUGUGCUGUGUUUUAACUAUUUUAUAAAUCGAUUCUCUCUGUUUUCUUGGUUGGCUCUCAAAAUAUUUGUAGCACUGGGUUACUUUUGUUGUGCUUGUCCCUCCUGAUGCCGUUGUUAUUUUAAGGAAUGUGAAAAGGAUCUCUGAUCCACCUUUUGCUUCAUUCAUGAUACUUUUAGUUUCAUUUUUUCUAAAGAUGUUCUUCUUUAACAAUGAAAAAACUGCUUUUAUGAUAUUUUUUUUUAUAUAUUCAAGAUUGCGAUUUCUUCACUUUUGGUCCCCUAAAUACGGGGGUAAAUGAGCCGAAGUUUAUCCUGUCUGUCAAAGUAGCUCGCCGAUGAGAUUCCCUUCUGUCAAAUUGAUCAAGUGUUAUUUUGUUAAACUCACGUUGAGGGGUAUCUUUUUAGUCUACUGCAAUGUUGUUUUGUCAAAAUCAUCUGCUGAAGGUCAUCGACUCAUCUGAUGCAUUUAGUCAGUGUUUUUUUUUUCGUUAAACCUUUACAUUGAGGGAUGCCUUUUCAGUCAAACUCAAAUGAUACUAUAGUAAAAUCUCACAGAGGGUUAUCCUUUCUGUAAGUUACCUUUUUAGGGGUUUACCAUCUGUCAAAUUUAUUCAGUCCGUGCAAGUAUUUAAUCUAGUGAUAUUCUGAAAUUUGAAUUGUAACUCAAUAUUACACAGCUCUGAAGAUGUACCAGGAGGAUGCUUUAAGCUCUAAAGAUUUCUUCUCUGAUAUUGCAUGUUUCUAUUUGUUGACAACAUUCUUUUUCGUUUGAGUAAUUAAUGUUGUCAAUAAAUAGAAAACAUGUUUUAUCAAAGAAGAGGUAAAACAGGUUUUUAGAGAAAGCUAUAACACGUUUUAUUGAAGAGGUUGGAUAAGGCUUUUGGAGUAAUAAGUAAAAUGCUUUCCAGGUGGCUUCAGAAUUGUAUCCUUUGCUUUUCUAAUAAAGCAACUCUUUUCAAUUAUUUUCUGUUUACCAAGCUGCUUUCUUUUCGAAAUGUUAAAGUUAGGCUCUAGAUUUCAUUUAGUCCUCCAUUUUCCAUCGAUGUAAAGUUUUUAAGGUCAUUUGGUGGGUGGAGAAGAUUGUGUGGAAAGUAGUUGCCUUUCAGUUAUUCUAACUGAUAAUCUUCGGCUGACAUGGUAUGUAUCAAACUCUUGGUGUUCAAGCAAAUCAAAGCAAAGCUGCCAACGCCUCAGCCUUUUAAACAAGAAGAUUGUCAAUAAGCAAAGAUGCCAAUGCCUCAGCCUCUCUUAAACAAGAAGAUUGUGAAGAAGCGUGUGAAGAGGUUCAAGAGGCCACAGAGUGAUCGCAGGAUUACUGUCAAGGAGAACUGGCGUAGACCUAAGGGUAUUUCUUCACGAGUAAGAAGAAAAUUUAAAGGAUGCAUCCUUCUGCCCAAUGUUGGUUAUGGUUCCAACAAGAAAACCAAGCGCUAGCCUUCUGGCCUUUAAAAGUUUGUACACAAUGCUAGGGGGUUUGUACAAAAGUUGGUAUACCUUUUGAUGAUGCAUAACAGGACGUAUUGUGCUGUUGGUUAUGGUUCCAACAAGAAAACCAAGCACUACUUGCCUUCUGGCCUUUAAAAGUUUGUACACAAUGCUAGGGGGUUUGUACAAGAUUGUGUAUACCUUUUGAUGAUGCAUAACAGGAUAUGUUGUGCUGAAAUUGCGCACGAUCUUCCAACACUAAAGAGAAAGGCUAUUGUGGAGCGAGCUGCACAGCUCAAUAUCAUGGCAAACAUGUUAGCCAGGAUACAAAGCGAGGGAUGAGUAGAAAUGGUUUUUAUAGGCUGUCACUGGAAUUCUUUUAGAAGUGGAAGGUUUGCAAGUUCAACUAGUGGAAGCCUGGCAAGGUUUGCAAGUUCAACGAAUCCAUUUUGAAUGUCCUUCAAGCACCUCAGAACCUAAGCAAAAGCUCUUUUAACCCCAAAGAACCUCUCUAAGAAUUUGUAGCACCUCAGAACCUAUGCAAAAGCUCAUUUAACCCAAAGAACCUCUCUAAGAAUUUGUAAGAUGAAUAGUGAAAAAUUCAAAGUGGGCAGCUAUACGAUGUCAUUUGUGCAAGAAAGACUAUAGGGGCAGCUAUUAUACUAUGUCAUUUUUGUUCAAGAAAGACUAUACUGCCCCUAUGCUAUGUUAUUUGUACAAGAAAGACUAUAGGGGCAGCUAUACUAGAAAUUAUCUAUGAGGGUAUUUCUGUGAACUGAAUUUUAUUAUCAAGUUGAAAUUUUUACAA